GGUUCAGUAGCUCAGUUGGUAGAGCGCAAGCCUGUUAAGCUUGAUGUCGGUGGUUCGAGUCCACUCUGGAUCG
rnacentral:tRNA from 3 species